UCUCUCUCUCAUCGGUGAUCUUUUUCUCACUUCACGACAAUAUCUCCUCCAAUUCUCCGUCCUUUCUCCCGCGACUCUGGCACCGAUGAAGCUCUUCUCUCAUAUGCUGCAUAAGAUUUUCUAUCUCUUUGGAUUUGCGAGCUGUAUGAGGCUAACAGGCACACUAUCAUCAUUGAUGCAUACUAUUCAUAAUAGCGCAACAAAGACAUGUAUGGAUUAUGUUCAAAUAAGUCAAGCUGAGACAAUGUUCACCAAUGACAACUUUCAAAAGUCUUGGAAGGCGUCUAUUUGAUGUCUACAUUCAGAGUUUGUGUAUAUUGGUGUAGACUUCUGCAGGAUAUUAUUUGGUGUGUCUGUAAUAAUCAGGAGAUAGAAGGAAUCAAAUGGAAGGUCAUGAUACACUUUUUGGGCUCCGCAAUAGGAUUUCAAAGGAAAUAGAAAUAACAAAGCGUCAUAAUAUCUUUAGAUCUCGUUGUUCACUUUUUAAGUGAAGCAUGAAAGUUUUUUCAAAUUUUAGCAACACCUUUUAGCUAGAAAUUUACCAUGAUGACUUUGAUUCUCUAAAUUUACUUUUUAAAAGUUGUUCACUUAUUAAGUGAAACAUGUAUUUAGACCGAGUUACUUAAUAUGAUAUUGAUAUUUUUGUAAUUCUAA